GAAACAUGAAAUUCAAGGUUAGACUUCUAAUUUAUUCCUUAAGCGAUGAAAUUUCGUUUAUGUUUCU
rnacentral:tRNA from 1 species